AGCGAACGUUAGCGGCGCGCUUAACACAUGCAAGUCGAACGAGCAAGGGACUUCGGUCCCCGGUAAAGUGGCGCACGUGUGCGUAACACGUAGGCAAUCUUCCCUCAGGAGGGGGAUAACUACCCGAAAGGGUAGCUAAUACCGCGUAAGACCACGGGCUCCACGGAGCUUUCGGUCAAAGGAGGCCUCUUCAUGAAAGCUUCCACCAGAGGAUGCGCGUCCGGCCCAUCAGCUAGUUGGCAGGGUAAAAGCCUACCAAGGCGAAGGCGGGUAGCCGGUCUGAGAGGAUGAUCGGCCACACUGGCACUGAAACACGGGCCAUACUCCUACGGGAGGCAGCAGUGGGGAAUCUUGGACAAUGGGCGAAAGCCUGAUCCAGCGACGCCGCGUGGGUGAGGAAGGCCUUCGGGUUGUAAAGCCCUGUUGAAGGGAAAGAAAACGUUGGGCGCGAAUAGCUCCCGACCUUGACGGUACCCUUCCAGAAAGCACCGGCUAACUCUGUGCCAGCAGCCGCAGUAAAAC
rnacentral:rRNA from 1 species